GAUGAAGAACGUAGGGAAAUGCGAUACUUGGUGUGAAUUGCAGAAUCCCGUGAACCAUCGAGUCUUUGAACGCAAGUUGCGCCCGAAGCCAUUAGGCCGAGGGCACGCCUGCCUGGGCGUCACACGUCGUUGCCCCCCCAUCUACUCCUUCGGGAUUGCGGGGGGCGGAUGAUGGCCUCCCGUGCGCCUCGUCGCGCGGUUGGCAUAAAUGCCAAGUCCUCGGCGACGCACGCCACGACAAUCGGUGGUUGCGAAACCUCGGUUGCCCGUCGUGUGCGGUCGUCGCGCAUCGAGGGCUCGAAAAAAUUGCCGGGCUCCGGCUCGGCUUUCAACGCGACCCCAGGUCAGGCGGGGUUACCCGCUGAAUUUAAGCAUAUCAAUAAGCGGAGGA
rnacentral:misc_RNA from 1 species